UGAGGCAUGGCGCAACAUUCAGAGGAAAGGCAAGGUUUCUUGGGGUAGAGCUAAUAACAGAUCUUUUCCUCCGUUCGAUGACUGGCUCAGUAAGAGAGUGGAGCUUACUUGUCUACCGUUUCCUAUAGGCAAGGUUUCUUGGGGUAGAGCUAAUAACAGAUCUUUUCCUCCGUUCGAUGACUGGCUCAGUAAGAGAGUGGAGCUUACUUGUCUACCGUUUCCUAUGGUUGAUCCUUGGUAUCCGUUG
rnacentral:lncRNA from 1 species